rnacentral:rRNA from 1 species
UACGGGGGGAGCAAGCGUUGUUCGGAUUUACUGGGCGUAAAGGGCGCGUAGGCGGUCAGCACAAGUCAGUUGUGAAAUCUCCGGGCUUAACUCGGAAAGGUCAACUGAUACUGUGCGACUAGAGUGCAGAAGGGGCAACUGGAAUUCUCGGUGUAGCGGUGAAAUGCGUAGAUAUCGAGAGGAACACCUGAGGUGAAGACGGGUUGCUGGGCUGACACUGACGCUGGGGCGCGAAAGCCAGGGGAGCAAACGGG